GCGGGCGUGGCGGAAUUGGUAGACGCACCAGAUUUAGGUUCUGGCAUCGAAAGAUGUGGGGGUUCGAGUCCCUUCGCCCGCA
rnacentral:tRNA from 2 species